CUCACUCUUUUGCCCAGACUGGAGUACAGUGAUGCGAUCAUGGCUCAUUGCAGCCUUGCCCUCCUGGGAUCAAGCAAUCUGCCCACCUCAGCCUCCCAAGUAGCUGGGACUACAGAUGUACAACAUCACAACUGGAAAACUUCUAGUUGGUUUUUGUUUGUUUGUUAAGAUGGGGUUUUGCCAUGUUUCCAUGAACUCCUGGGCUCAAGCAAUCCACCUACCUUGGCCUCUCAAAGUGAUAGGAUUACAGGUGUUAGCCACCACAUCUGGCCUUCAGAGAAAAGCAGGGCUGAGAAGAUCUCUCAUGCCAACUUGAGGAAGGAUAACAUGGGUAAAGUUAAGCCACUGUUCUCACUCUUUUUAAUGUCUUCUCACUUCUAUUAUCCACCAGGUGCUGGAACCUAUCACCUGAUGCAUGAGCUCUUGUAAAGGUAUUUUCACCAUAGGUGGUUAUUAAAUCAG
rnacentral:lncRNA from 10 species